UACGGGGGGGGCAAGCGUUGUUCGGAAUUACUGGGCGUAAAGGGCUCGUAGGCGGCCAACUAAGUCAGACGUUAAAUCCCUCGGCUUAACCGGGGAACUGCGUCUGAUACUGGAUGGCUUGAGGUUGGGAGAGGGAUGCGGAAUUCCAGGUGUAGCGGUGAAAUGCGUAGAUAUCUGGAGGAACACCGGUGGCGAAGGCGGCAUCCUGGACCAAUUCUGACGCUGAGGAGCGAAAGCCAGGGGAGCAAACGGG
rnacentral:rRNA from 1 species